rnacentral:lncRNA from 1 species
AUCCCUUUCGCUUUAUGGCGUGCUCGUUUGGGUUGGGCGUCGGCUAAGAGUGUUCGGAGCGUGGAUUAACUCCAGUCUCCAAUCAGGUGUGUAUUUAUCACUACUCUUGUUGUUGGAUGGCUACUUCGGGCCGCGAUGGGCCGAAAGGGGCCAUGUGGGCCCAAUGGGCCUACGGGCCCAAUUGGAUAAGUUGUUUGAUUGUGUAGUAAAUAUUGGACUAGGCUAGGUGAAUCUCAUAUCUGUGGCUAGGUUUGGGCUGAAAGGGCCACACGAGCGUGUGGGCCCAUUUGGGCCGAGAAUAGGCUUUAGGCCCAUUCAUAUUGUUAUCCAUGUUUAGAAUACUUUAGUUUACCAAUUACUGAAAUGCCCUCGACUUGUAAAAUUACCAAAGUACUCCCGAUUUACAAAAUUACCGUUUUACCCUCGAUUUACAGAAUUACCAUUUUACCCUCGAUUUUUAAAAUUACCGUUUUACCCUCGAUUUACAAAAUUAUCGUUUUACCCUCGAUUUAUAGAAUUACCGUUUUACCCUCAGUUUAUAGAAUUACUAUUUUACCCUCGAUUUAUAGAAUUACCAUUUUACCCUCAGUUUACAGAAUUACUGUUUUACCCUCGAUUUAUAGAAUUACCGUUUUACCCUCGAUUUGUAAAAUUACCGUUUUACCCUUGAUUUACAGAAUUACUGGUUUACCCUCAAUUUACAAAAUUAUCGUUUUACCCUCGAUUUACAGAAUUACCGUUUUACCCUUGAUUGUGAAAUUACUGAAAUACCCCUGUAGGAUAGAAUUUCCGGAAUACCCCUAUAGGGUAGAAUUACUAAAAUACCCUUAUAUGAUAGAAUUACCAAAAUACCCCUGUAGGGUAGAAUUAUCGAAAUACCCUUGUAGGGUAGAAAUACUGAAAUACCCCUGUAGGGUAGAAUUACCGAGAUACCCUUAUGGGGUAAAAUUACCAUUUUGCCCCUAGGGUGUUAAAUGACUGUUUUGCCCUUGUGGGCAAGUGACUGACUUGGACUGCGUGUUUGACGGAUUUGAUUGUGAAUAUAUAUUGGUGAUAUGAAUGACUUGACUGUGAUUGUUUGGUUCAAAUAUGGGCAUGACAUUCUGCAUACAUGACAUGUUGCAUGGGUUGGGAUUUUGUACGGAGGAAGCGUUCUGGUGGCUAUGCCACAAAUAUCUAUUCUGGUGGCUCUGCCACAAUAUCUGUAUUUGACUCUGUCACAAUAUCUGUUGACCGAUCGAUGGCUAAGUGCCGAUCACGCUACCGAAGGCUGUGUGCCGUUGUUGUGGGCUUCGUGCCGAUUAUAGACUCGUUAUUAAUGGCUCUGUGCCAACCUAAAUAUGGCUUUGUGCCAUCUUGACUAUGGCUUCGUGCCAAACGUAUUUACCUGUAGCUAUGUGCCUAACAUAUUUGUUGACGACUCUGUGUCGAUCAUAUUUACCGAAGGCUGUGCGCCAGUUAUAUUACCGUCACUGAUGGCUAUGUGCCGAAGUUAUUACAGUUAUCUAUUGCUUUGUGCCACGUAUUCUGUUAGGUGGGUUUGCCACAUUAUCUGAUUCUGGUGGCUCUGCCACAAUAUCUGUAUCUGGUGACUCUGUCACGAUAUCUGUUCUGGUAGCCAUGCUGCAAAUUCUGUGGUGUGUAGCGGAUGGGUGGGUCGAGUUGUCUCCCCACAUGGUGUAAGGUUGGUACGGGGGUGUAUACGCCUGGGUUGGGUUGGGAUUGCAUUCACAUUCUGAUUCUGAUUCUGUCACGUAAUUCUGAUUCUGAUUCUGAUUCUGUUACUAAUAUUGAUUCUAAUUCUGAUUCUGUUACUGAUUCUGAUUCUGAUUCUGAUUCUCAUUUUGGUUCCAAUUCUGAUAAUGUUUCUUAUUCUGUAAUGGGCUAAGGUCCAUCUGGUACUGUGUGUUGUAAUGGGCUAAGACCCGAUUGGUACUGAAAUUGUAAGUAAGGCUGGGGCCAGACUUUUAAUUCUUUUAGAUGACUGACUGUUCCUUUUUAUAGUAGGGGAUUUCACACUGAGUUUUCGUAAACUCACCCCGUUUAUUAACCUUUCAGGUAAUUUCCAGCCUUAGAUGGAUCGGGGUUGCUAGGGGCUCGGAGGAAGCCACACACACUGUUUAUGUUACAGUUUUGAUUAUUACCUUUAAAUUAUUUUAUGUGGGUUGUAGUAAAGCCGUUU